GGGCACAGUGGAACGGAGGGAAAACGACACGGAGGCAUGCGACGACUGAGGCUCGGCACGGAGGCGCGCGACGGCGGCAGGUGUUCGUUCUUGCGUUUGGGCUGAAAACGAGGUGUUCGCCAUGGCGCCGGUCCGAAAACAACGGUUCGGCACGGUCCGAAAACGGCUAAGUCCAGCGUUUGGAAAGACACCGAACCUAAAGUGCAUGUCUGGAGUGAAGGUCAGGUGGAACGGAGGGAAAACGGAGGAGGCGCGCGGCGACGGGCGGCAUGGGCUGUUCGGCCUUGCGUUUGGGCUGAAAACGAGGGGUUCGCCAUGGCGCGCGGGCCGAAAACGGCGGCUGGGCACGCUCGGAAAUAAGCUAAGUCCAAGCGUGUGGAAAGACACCGAAGCUAAUGUGUAUGUCUUGGGUGAAGGGCAGGUGGAACGGAGGGAAAACGGACGGAGGCGCGGCGACGGGCGGCAGGCUGUUCGGCCUUGCGUUGGGCUGAAAACGAGGGGUUCGCCAUGGCGCGUGGGCCGAAAACAGCGGCUGGGCACGGCCGGAAAUAAGCUAAGUCCAGCGUGUGGAAAGACACCGAACUAAGGAUGUCUUGGGUGAAGGCACGGUGGAACGGAGGGAAAACGACACGGAGGCCCGCGGCGACGGGGCAGGGGUUCGGCCAUGCGUCUGGGCUGAAACAGGUGGUUCGCCAUGGCGCGCGGGCCAGAAAUGGUGGCUGUGGCACGAACCCGAAAAAACUAAGUCAAGUAUGUGGAAACACACCGAACCUAAAGUGGAUGUCUUUGGUGAAGGGCACGGUGGAACGGAGGGAAAACGACACGGAGGCACGCGCGAUGGGCGGCAGGGCUGUUCGGCUGCGUAUGGGCUGAAACGAGGGGUUCGCCAUGGCGCACGGGCCGAAAAGGUCGGCACGACCCAAAAGCUAAGUCCAAGCUUGUGGAAGACACCGAACCUAAAGUGCAUGUCUUAAGUGAAGGGCAAGGUGGACGGAGGGAAAACGGGAGGAGGCACGCGGCGACGGGGUAGGGCUGUUCGGCCUUGCGUUUGGGCUGAAAACGAGGGUUCGCCAUGGGGGGCCGAAAACGGGGGGGCGGAAAGCUAAGUCAAGCAUGUGGAAAGACGAACCUAAAGUGCAUGUCGGUGAAGGGCACGGUGGAACGGAGGGAAACGGGAGGAGGCGCGCUGCACGGGGGGGCUGUUCGGCGCGUUGGGCUGAAACGAGGUUCGCAUGGCGCGCGGAAAAACUGAGGCUCGGCACGACCCGAAAUAAGCUAAGUCAAGCAUGUGGAAAGACACCGAACCUAAAGUGCAUGUCUUGAGUGAAGGGCAAGGUGGAACGGAGGGAAAACGGGAGGAGGCGCGCUGCACGGGCGGCAGGGCUGUUCGGCCUUGCGUUUGGGCUGAAAACGAGGUGUUCGCCAUGGCGCGCGGCUGAAAACUAGGUUCGGCCACGGCCGCGAAAACGGGCUAAGUCCAAGCGUGUGGAAAGACACCGAACCUAAAGUGCAUGUCUUGAGUGAAGGGCAAGGUGGAACGGAGGGAAAACGGGACGAGGCGCGCUGCCACGGGCGGCAGGGCUGUUCGGCCUUGCGUUUGGGCUGAAAACGAGGUGUUCGCCAUGGCGCGCGGGCUGAAAACUAGGUUCGGCCACGGCCGCGAAAAGGGCUAAGUCCAAGCGUGUGGAAAGACACCGAACCUAAAGUGCAUGUCUUGAGUGAAGGGCAAGGUGGAACGGAGGGAAAACGGGAGAGGCGCGCUGCACGGGCGGCAGGCUGUUCGGCCUUGCGUUUGGGCUGAAAACGAGGUGUUCGCCAUGGCGCGCGGGCUGAAAACUGAGGUUCGGCCACGGCCACGAAAACGGGCUAAGUCCAAGCGUGUGGAAAGACACCGAACCUAAAGUGCAUGUCUUGAGUGAAGGGCAAGGUGGAACGAGGGAAAACGGGAGGAGGCGCGCUGCCACAGGCGGCAGGGCUGUUCGGCCUUGCGUUUGGGCUGAAAACGAGGUGUUCGCCAUGGCGCGCGGGCGAAAACUGAGGUUCGGCACGGCCGCGAAAAAGCUAAGUCCAAGCGUGUGGAAAGACACCGAACUAGUGAGUCUGUGAGGGGGGGAGGGAACGGGAGGGGGGGGGGGGCGGCCGGGGCUGAACGGGGGCAGGCGGGGAAACGAGGCGGGCACGACCGAAAAAGCUAAGUCAAGCUGUGGAAAGACACGAACUAAGUGCAUGUCUGGUGAAGGGCAGGUGGAACGGAGGGAAACGGGGAGGCGCGGCGACGGGCGGCAGGGCUGUUCGGCCUUGCGUUUGGGCUGAAAACGAGGGUUCGCCAUGGCGCCGGGCCGAAAACAGGUCGGCACGCCCGAAAUAAGCUAAGUCAAGCUGUGGAAAGACACCGAACUAAGUGAGUCUUGGUGAAGGGCAGGUGGAACGGAGGGAAACGAGGAGGCGCGCGCACGGGCGGCAGGGCGUUCGGCCUUGCGUUGGGCUGAAAACGAGGGUU
rnacentral:lncRNA from 1 species